UGACCUGUGAUGCUACGAUUGGUCUGAGAAAGCUAUUAUGUUUUGCGUUGAUAGAAAUCUGUGAUCUUGUUUUGAUUGAUCUAUAGAGCCGUUUUGUGCGAUUACUUAU